GUAACAUCAGAGACAAGAAGGCUGUGAGGAUGUGAGAAUGGACAUGAAGCACCUGGAACAUUCUGGAACAUUCCUUACAAAUCCUGCACCAACACCACUAAUGAAGAGAAGUUGAAUGGAGAUAAAACAGGAGGUGCCAGCAUUAUGGGAUGGCGGUGUAAACUGUGCAUUUGUCGCAUCAUCAAAAGGAAUUUCGAUUAUUA